GUACACAAAAAUGCACAUGCUGUGAGCUCGAUGAGUAGGGCGGGACACGUGGUAUCCUGUCUGAAUAUGGGGGGACCAUCCUCCAAGGCUAAAUACUCCUGACUGACCGAUAGUGAACCAGUACCGUGAGGGAAAGGCGAAAAGAACCCCGGCGAGGGGAGUGAAAAAGAACCUGAAACCGUGUACGUACAAGCAGUGGGAGCACGCUUAGGCGUGUGACUGCGUACCUUUUGUAUAAUGGGUCAGCGACUUAUAUUCUGUAGCAAGGUUAACCGAAUAGGGGAGCCGAAGGGAAACCGAGUCUUAACUGGGCGUUAAGUUGCAGGGUAUAGACCCGAAACCCGGUGAUCUAGCCAUGGGCAGGUUGAAGGUUGGGUAACACUAACUGGAGGACCGAACCGACUAAUGUUGAAAAAUUAGCGGAUGACUUGUGGCUGGGGGUGAAAGGCCAAUCAAACCGGGAGAUAGCUGGUUCUCCCCGAAAGCUAUUUAGGUAGCGCCUCGUGAAUUCAUCUCCGGGGGUAGAGCACUGUUUCGGCAAGGGGGUCAUCCCGACUUACCAACCCGAUGCAAACUGCGAAUACCGGAGAAUGUUAUCACGGGAGACACACGGCGGGUGCUAACGUCCGUCGUGAAGAGGGAAACAACCCAGACCGCCAGCUAAGGUCCCAAAGUCAUGGUUAAGUGGGAAACGAUGUGGGAAGGCCCAGACAGCCAGGAUGUUGGCUUAGAAGCAGCCAUCAUUUAAAGAAAGCGUAAUAGCUCACUGGUCGAGUCGGCCUGCGCGGAAGAUGUAACGGGGCUAAACCAUGCACCGAAGCUGCGGCAGCGACGCUGAUGCGUUGUUGGGUAGGGGAGCGUUCUGUAAGCCUGCGAAGGUGUGCUGUGAGGCAUGCUGGAGGUAUCAGAAGUGCGAAUGCUGACAUAAGUAACGAUAAAGCGGGUGAAAAGCCCGCUCGCCGGAAGACCAAGGGUUCCUGUCCAACGUUAAUCGGGGCAGGGUGAGUCGACCCCUAAGGCGAGGCCGAAAGGCGUAGUCGAUGGGAAACAGGUUAAUAUUCCUGUACUUGGUGUUACUGCGAAGGGGGGACGGAGAAGGCUAUGUUGGCCGGGCGACGGUUGUCCCGGUUUAAGCGUGUAGGCUGGUUUUCCAGGCAAAUCCGGAAAAUCAAGGCUGAGGCGUGAUGACGAGGCACUACGGUGCUGAAGCAACAAAUGCCCUGCUUCCAGGAAAAGCCUCUAAGCAUCAGGUAACAUCAAAUCGUACCCCAAACCGACACAGGUGGUCAGGUAGAGAAUACCAAGGCGCUUGAGAGAACUCGGGUGAAGGAACUAGGCAAAAUGGUGCCGUAACUUCGGGAGAAGGCACGCUGAUAUGUAGGUGAAGUCCCUCGCGGAUGGAGCUGAAAUCAGUCGAAGAUACCAGCUGGCUGCAACUGUUUAUUAAAAACACAGCACUGUGCAAACACGAAAGUGGACGUAUACGGUGUGACGCCUGCCCGGUGCCGGAAGGUUAAUUGAUGGGGUCAGCGCAAGCGAAGCUCUUGAUCGAAGCCCCGGUAAACGGCGGCCGUAACUAUAACGGUCCUAAGGUAGCGAAAU
rnacentral:rRNA from 1 species